UUUGCAAAUUAAAUGAGGUAUUGGAAGAAACUAAUACAAGGUAAUGAAUACAAUUCAAAACUCAAUCAAACUUUAAUUUAUCUACUACAUUUUCUUCAGUAUAGUUGGAAGAGGAUAUGAAGGUUUUGGCAAAUAGGUGGUGGUAUGUAAUGAAAAUAAUGAGAAAAUAAAUAACACCAUCUUGGGUGCCCAAUUGCGAAUAAUCAAUUCUCACAAUUGUUGAGUUUAUCCAACUUGAGUACAUUGAAAUAGGGGGUGAUGUGAUUGAUAUCCUUUGAGUACAUUGUUGUAGUUUCCUCACUUUAAUUGCUUUGCAUUGUUCUAGUUUUCUCAAAUUGUUAUUUUUGUGGAAGAGUUUUAUUUGCAAGAAACUUUCUAUAAUCUAAAUUUGUCCUUUGAUGAUUUUUUGAUCAAAUCUACGCUAUGUCAUGAUUGUUAAUUAAUAGUAUUUGGAAAAUGUUUGAUACACGUACAAUCCAUGUUUACAUUGAUUGAUACACUUGAUAUGGUUUUAUUCGUUUCUGUUUUUCCCUUAGUUAUUCCCUUUUGCUUUCGAGAUGGUGUCGGGUGAAACUUGAGACAAUUGGAAAUGGUGCCUCCAAAAGAUAGCUGAGGUGUUGGUUGAAAAAGAUAGGCAAAUUACCUUCAUAUUUGAUGGGUAGGCAUGUUGAUUUUAUUGAUUCUUUGAGAGCUAUAUUCCAUGGUUCCCCUCAUGACUUUUGCGUUUAUCACUUAAAAGACAAGUUGAAGAAGAAAUAUCCAAAAACUACUGGAUCAAGUUUUAAAGAUCAUAUUUAAUAGUUGUUUUGUGAAUUGUUGUAUGCACAUGUUGUAGAUGCUUAUGAGGAUAAAUUGGAAAAGUUAAGAGAUUAGGGUAGGGAAGUAGUUGAUAGAUUUUUGUCUGACUUUCCUAUUGAAAACUGUAAAUUUUUCAGAAAAGAGAUAUAUGGAGGUUAGUAAUGCAUUGUCAAAGUCCUUUAAUUCAUGGAUUAAGAACUAUCGUAGAAUUUUGAUUUUUGAAAUGAUCGAUCAUAGUAGUGUAAAAAUGAUGGACAUGAUGUCUAAGAGGAUUGUAAUGGCUAAAAACCUUAUGGAGAUAUGGUGCUUCUACCUCUUCAUAUGAGAAAACCUCUGGAACGGCCCGGGACGAAGUGCAUUAAGUCAAGUGGUGAAACAACAAAGCAUGUUAAGUGUACAACAUGUGGUUCAUAUGAUAUGCAUAAUAUGAAGACUUGUAGAGUGUGGGGAAUUAGUUGAGCUUAAAAGUUUUUAAAUCUUGAGAGGGCCGCUAGCUACCUUUUCUUUUCUUCUUUAACAUCUUGCAAUUUUUCUUGAUGAUCGAAAUUGUCUCUUUUUAUUAUUUUAUUUUUUAUACAAGAGAUAUUGGGGAAUGGAGGGAAUCAAACCUAGAAUCUUGAAUGCAUUAGUAAAUAUACUUUUAACACAUGAGCUAGAAGCCCCUUGCACGAAAAAAAAAAACCAAAUAAAAAAUAAUUUAUAUGUGUCAUACGUUGAUUGUUUAAUUGAAGUGAUGAUCUUUAAAGGAUGACCAAGAAAAUAAACGAUUUCAAUCAUCAAGCAACAUGAUGUUGAGGGGAAAAAUAAAGAGCCAAAGAAAAACAACCACUAUUUUAAAAUUCACAUUAUUCAACCAUUAGUUGUCUCAUUCAUAAUUUUGGGGUAGAUAUCUGUGGGAGCGAUUUUCAUCUCACGAGAAUAUUCAUCUAAGAUUCUGUCUUCCUCUUCGCUUUUCUUUCUCCUUGCAAAACAAAUCCGAAUAAGAGGACCACACCCGGGGGGUGUUGGCCAAAGGCCCUCCGAUGCCUAAGUUAGUUCGAGUGUUUGUAGGAAAACAAUAGCUAAUAAAAGGGUAAGGAAAUGUAUGUAUGGUGUGAACCGAGUGGCCGGAGCCGUGUGUGCUGGUCGGAACCUUGUGUGAGAGAGAGAAAGGUUUAUGGCGGCUAGGGUUUGUGAGAUGGAAUUUCUGUAGAGUUUUAGACAGAAGUUUAGACGUAGGUUUAGAAUUACCUCAAGCGUUGGUGUAUCCAUGUAUUUUAUAGGAGCCUCGGAGGCUAGGGUUUCGGAAGAAUAAUUCCAUAGAUGGAAAUGAAUUAUUCUUCCCCAUUUUGGAGAGAUUGACGUAAUUAGGGAUCCAUAAUUAGGGUAAGAAUUGAAAAAUUACCAAUUGAAUCAAAUAACUCCCAAUUAUGCCAAAUAAUCCCCAAAUGAAAAGAAAUAUUUAGGGUUUGGCUAAAAUUCGGUUCCCACAAUAUCAACACCGAAAACCAUUUUAAUUCACCAAUCAUCUAUUUUGUAAAACCAACAAAAUAACUAUAAGGUUGAAUAGAGAAUUAGUCAUUAGAUUUGGUGCAUGAUUAAACAAAGGAAAAUAAUUAACAUUUUGGGUUGAGAUGCUGUUAGAUAUUAUUAAUGUAGUAUGAUAAUAUUGGACGACUUGCAGCCAAAAAGAUAACAUUUGGACGACUGCUUGGCUUUUACUUACACCAUUACAACCAAGUUAAUUGGGGCUAUAUGUUAUUAUUAAUUAUCAUUAUUAUCAUCUCUUCAAUUCAUUAGGAGUUUUGGGGAGAAUAUGGGAAUGCACAUGCAAAAAGUUCUACAGGUGUUGGUUGUGAUGACUUUAUAUUUUGCCUCAAUGCUAUAUGGCCACAAGGGAACGGCUACCUUUUAUGAUUCUUCUUAUGUCCAUGAGUAUUAUAUACAUAUUUAUCUUAAUUUCUAAUUUAUCAAUUAGUUCGAUUUAGUGGUAUCUUCCUCUCUAAUCUAAUGUUGGAAAAUACUCCGAUUUCGAAACCCUUUUCGUUAAUUAAAAAAAUUUAAUUUAUUUUUCACAUUCUAGACACUAGCUAACCUCUUUGCAGGCAUUUUCGCGCAUGCAAGAGGUUUUUUUUUUAAUUUUUAUAAAAAAAAUUUAAAUUUAUUUUAGAAUUAAAAAAGAUAAUGGUAAGUUGUGUUUAUGAUCCAUUAUCUGAUUUUUCCUUUUAUUUUUAAUUUUUUUAAAUAUGAAAAAGUGUAGAUUUACUAUAUUAUCCUCAUUUACUUAAUAAUUUCAAUUCUUAGUUCCCGUUUGGCAUGCUUAUUUGGGGUGAUAAGUGAUUUUUAAAAAAAUUUGGAAAGCCCAGCCUGUUUGGUAAAUUAUGAGAAAAUCAUUUAUUGUUAAAAAUUGUUGUGAGAGAAAACUAUAAGGAAAAGUAGCUAAUGAUGUGCUUUCAUUGUCUGAUUAUGCAUAAAUUAGUUUCGAAAAGACACUGGUUUUAAUGAUUAUGCGGGAAUUGAUACCAACAACACUUUUAACAAAAAGUUUAUCAAACGCCAAACUGCUUUCCCUUACAGCUGAUUUCUCUCAUAGCAAAUCUGACAGCGAUUAUUUUCACAUCACAGCAAUGCCAAACUGGCCCUUAAUAUUUGCAUUAAUCAAGGAUAUUUUAUGGUAUUUUAAAUGUUUCACCAUUCUCUGUCUCUUGCUUUAUAUUCUAGACACUAAAAACUAAUUAAUAUAUAAUUUUAGACAAUAUUUCUACUUUUUGUAAGGAGAAAUAUAGGCAAGAGGCAACAUACUUCAAUGAAGACAAUAAUCAUGUGGAGGUGGAAGUUUUUCUAGUGGUGUAGAGUUGAGUUCAAUGAGACAUGGAGAGUGAUAAUUGAAUUACAUGAGAGUACAAUAAAAAUUAAAUAAAAUUAAAGUGGAUUAUAUGAAAUACAAUAUAGAAUAAAUUGCCAUGUUAUUUGCCACAUCAAUUGGUAAAAUGUUUCGUGCUUAAAUUAUUAAUAGGCUACUCUAAGCACUUUUUCUAUUAACUAUUGGGAUUAUUUUAGAAGACAACCUUUAACACGCGUACAAUGAGCAUCUUUAGUUAUGCAUGUUUGCUUUCAACGGUGGAGAAACUUGAACCCUUUUUUAUAUAUAAAUUUUAUUCUUUUUUAACUAUUUUAUUUUACUGUUUUACACAUUUAAAGUGAAAUGUUUAGUUGAAAUCUCAGUUUCAACUUUUAAUCUCUUGGGCAGCCUCUGCAUGCUAUGGAAGUAGAAGCAAAGAAGAGUAUAUUGUGGCUGUAGCAAGUGAUGCUAUAUGGGGGAUAAUGGGGCAGCAUGUGGAAGAUUAUACACCGUCAGAUGUAUUGGGGGUACCAAUCGGAUGGCAAAACCCUGCACUCAAGUUUCGGUUGUGAUUGUCAAGAUUGUUGAGUAUUGUCCAUCAGGAUGUCGUGGAACCAUUAAUCUUUCUCGAGAGGGAUUUGUAGUUAUUGCCAAUCCUGACCAAAUGUUUUAAGCCUUAGUUGUUCUAGUGCUCAUUGAAACUGUGAUCAAAUCUUAAUUACAUUGUCCCCUAAACUUCAAAGUGAAUUAUUUUGGCCCCUUGAUUGAUGUUUCACAUCUCACUUUGAUUUUUUACCGGACUUGACAAUAGAGGUAAAGUGAGAUGCAAAAGAUCGGUUAAGAGGACAAAGUAGGCCACUUUGAGUCGUUCAAGGGGAAUAUAAGAUUUCACCAUAAUUUCAAGAGGCAUUAUAGCAAUUAAGCAUGUUUUAAACUAUUUUUCCCCUAAUAAGUGAAGAGUAAAACAUGAUUAAUUCAUGAACUUUAUUUGUUUAUGUGAUUUGUAGGUUUACACAUGCAAGAAACAAUGGGAGGUAGUACGAAAAUAUAUAUAUAUUUAUUUAUAUAAGUUAAAAAAUGUGACUCUUAAGGUUGUAAGCUCCAAACACUUGGAUUUGUAUUUGAGUUUUGGACUUCAAAUCAAAAUAUUUGAAAUCCAAAACUUUGAAGUUUCACUGUUUGGGUAAUGAGGGGUUUGAAAUAAUAAUUUAAUAUAAUAAAAACUCAGAAAAUUACAUUUAAAAAAAAAUUAUUGUCUUUGCACCAAAGAAAAAAUUAAUAUUUUUGUUUACAAGAAAAAACAAAUAUUAACCAAACAAGAAAGAAAUUCAAAUACAUGAAGAGCAUGACAAAUAAAAAUUAGUCCAAGCAAGCCCAUACUCCAUAUGUGCGAUCUCAUAAUAACAACAAUGACAUGGACACGAAGAAAACCUUUUAAACAACAAAGUGGUUAAAUCAAAAUAAUCAGAGCAGUUUUGGCACGGAUUGGUUUGAUUUCUUACAUUAAAAUAGUGUAAUCUUGGACCCAAGUGAAGUAAACCAUAAUGAUCCAGGUGGAUCUUUUCAAGAUAAUUAAAUAAUAAAUAUUAUUUAAAUUUAAAUAACUUAUCAACCAUUCGAUUCGAAUGGUUUAAGAAGAAAUGGUUCUCAGCCAUUUAAAAAUUAAUGGUUUGAAUUGUCUAAGGAAUUUAAAUCAUUUUUUAACAUUUGUGGUUUAAGUUCAUUUAUUAUUUUUAGCUUUCUAUUCUAGGCAUUCAGGCUUGUAUAUAAACCAUUGUAGUUGAAUGAAUUAAACAAGCAUAACUCAAAGCGUUUCCUUAGCUUCUUCAUUUUGUUUCUCUAAUUGUCUUAAAAUUCCUCUUGUUCCUUUAUUCCUAUAAACUAAGAAUUCAUAGUUCUAUCGACUAGAAAUUUUGGAUCACAUAACAAAUUGGUUUAGUUUGGUUUGUGUGGAAAGGGCAUAAAUAAAACAAUCUCAUAUUAAUUUUUGCUUUUGCUUUUACACUUUUAGCAUUUUCCAUUGGUAUCACUAUUUAUUAUCAUGUUUUAGGUUGGGGUGGGUAGGAUUUGGAUUGGAUUUGUUUCACUUCAAAACCACAACCAAUUCAAUUACAAUAAAACGGUUUGAUUUAAUGUGAUAAUUCUUAUGGAAGAAAUCGGACCAAUCCAAACAAAUUUAAGGCAAUUUGGUUCGAUAUGGUUUGGUAGGUUUUGAGCCUAAGCCCAAUUCUUUUUUGUUUUGCAUUUUUUUAAUUUUGUUAGUCCAAUUACAAUUUUUAAAAAAAAAACUUGCUACACAUUAUUUUUUCAUUUUUUAGAGUAUCAAAUCAUCCUAAAGCAUGCCAUAAAACGUCGAAGUUCAAUAUAGAUUAUAGUUCAAAUAUCAAUAAUUUCCAAGUUACAUCAAACUUCAAAUUCAACAUCAAUAUCUAGUUAUUAUAUAAUGAUUGAACUACACGUUAAUAAAAAAAUUAAAAAAAAAAAACAAGUCACAAGUGACGGUUCGGUUUGGUUUAUAUCAGUUUGCAAAAAGCUUAAAAUUGAAUCAAACUAAGUUAUUUC
rnacentral:lncRNA from 1 species